rnacentral:rRNA from 1 species
AGCCCAGAACAAGAGUUAAGGUUCCUAAAUUAUUCGUUGAGUGAAAUUAAGAAGGUUUUUAUUAAAGUCGACAAGGAGAUAGGCUUAGAAGCAGCCAUAAUUUUAUGACCUCGUAACAGAGCGCUUGUUAAGUUUUAAAAGCAUCGAAAAUUUACCGGAUCUAAACAAUAUACCGAAACCUUGUCCAUAUUAAUUUAUAGUAAAUAUUUUAUUAUAAUUAAGUGGGGUAGCAGAACGUUGAGCUGAAUUAUGAUUUUUAUUUUUUAAAUAAAAUUAUAUGCAUAGCAAGUUAUACUUGUAAGUAUGCUUCAAUUUAACUCAAGUGAUAAUGGUGACAUGAGUAACUAAAAGAAAAUUUUCCGCCUAAAGCUUAUGGAUAUAAUUAAGUAACGGCCUCUAAGUUUAUAUUAUCUAAAGAUUUAAACGAUGAGACAAUCUUUAUUACUAAGGACGACAUUUUAUGCUUAUUUAUAAGCAGUAGUGAAAAAUGUACUGGAAAAAUAGUAAUAUAUUUAUAAAUAGCUUUUAGCUAUUAUAAAUGAAAAGUAACCGUACCUAGAAUCUGAAACAAGUAAGCUAGUAGAGAAUACGAAGGCGUAAAUGAGCUAACAAUCAUAAAGGAACUCGGCAAAUUGACUACCGUAACUUCGGGAUAAGGAGAGCUCAUUAUUCUUGAUUAAUAUCAAGUAAAGAGGAAGAAGCAUGAAAUAGUGUUGUACGACUGUUUAAUUAAAACACAGCACUUUGCUGAAAGAUUAAAAAUCUAAGUAUAGAGUGUGAUGUCUGCCCGGUGCCGGCUGGUUAACAGAUAUAAUUGGAUAUACUAAUAUCUGAUGUAGACGGAAACCCCGGUUAAAGGCGGCCUUAACGUGAGGGUCCUAAGGUAGCGAAAUGCCUUGGCCGUUAAAUGCGGUCUUGCAUGAAUGAUGUAACGAUACAACAGCUGUCUCUAUGAUUGACUCAGUGAAAUUGGAAUAGCUGUGCAGAUACAGUUUACCUCUAGUUAGACGAGAAGACCCUAUGCAGCUUUACUGUCACUAAUUAUAGAGUAUGAUAAACAAUUUUCAGAUUAUAAGGUAAUUGACUAGAUGACAAUGAGAAUCCUUUAUUUUUUUUUCAUAUGAAUGAAUUGGUUUAGGAUUAUGAGAUGUGUAAUUUUGUUUAACAAAACUACAUAACUUAUUUUAGUAAAUCAACCUAGUUCAGCUUAUUUUAAUAAAAUAGGUAACCUUUGGUAAGGAACUAUCGCUAGGGGACAGUUUAUGUGGGGCACAGACCCUGUAAAGAGUAAACAGGAGUGUCUAAAAAUAUACAAAUAUUUUGUUUGCGAUUUAAGGUAGUUUAACUAUUUUUAAUCAUAUAAAAUUAUUUAUAUGUGCAUUUUUAUGUACAUAUAUUUAAAAUUAGGUAGGAUUUUCACUAUAUAGAAAUUAGAGAUAAUUAGAAACAUUAUGUAUUAAACUAAUGUUUUUUAACUAUUCUAUAGAAUAGUUAAUUCUUAUAUUAGCAUUAAUAAAUUAAAUUACAAAAAACACAUAGUAAUCAGUAUCUUUUUCUAUUAAUUAGAAUUUGAUCAUUUAACCAUAGUAAAAUUAUAUAUUUUACCAGUAAUAGUCUUAUUUUUAAUUAAACUACUACAUAUUUAGAUUAUUUAAAGGCUUAUAAAGAAGAAUUAUGUUAACAUAAAUGUUACAUACAAUUUUUAAAAACAAUAAUGGAGCAAGAAAUUAUAGUUCUUCAUCUAUUAAUAACAAUAUCCGUGAUUUACUGAUAGGUUGUUUAUUAGGUGAUGCGCACAUAAGAAGAACUAAAGAUAAUAGAUCUUAUAUUACUUUUGAGCAAACUAUAAAACAUGAAGAUUAUGUAAAAGAUUUACAUAAAACUUUAAGUAAAACUGGUCUAGAAUUAUCCGAGAUUAAAUAUUACACUCGAAAAGAUGAUAGACAUGACUCUAAUAAUACUUCAAUUUAUUUUAAAAUAAAAAGUACUUCAGAAUUAAAUUCAAUAGCUGAUUUAUUCUUAUCAGAAGAUAAUCAGAAAAUAGUACCAUUAGACAUUGAAAAUUAUUUAAGUCCAGUUGCUUUGGGUAAAUGAAUUUGCGAUGAUGGGCAAUUAGUGAAAAAUGGAGGAAUAACUUUAUGUACCGAUAAUUAUGAAUUAGAAGAGGUAGAGUUACUAAUAAGUGCUUUAUCUAAUAAGUACGGAUUAAGGUGUACAAUUCAUUUUAAAAAAGGAAAAAAUGGUAAUAUUUACCAUAGAAUUUACAUAAGUAAAACUACAUUUAACUCAUUAAAACCAUUAAUCGUAGAUCAUGUUCAUCCUUCUUUCUUGUAUAAAUUACAUAUGAGUCCUCAGAUAGAAAUUUAAAGUUAUCCUUUUAUAAAUUGAUAAUAUAUAAUUUUUAUAGCACAUCGGGGGAUUUUCAUAGAAACAUGAAAAUAGAAAUUGGCUAAAUUGCUAGGACAGCCUUAACGGCCAAUUAGCAGGGAGAAUCUAUGAUUCCCUUCAACGAUCACACGCCAACACCCUGAACAAUAUUAACAACACUUUAAUACAGGGUGAAGAUAUGAUCUAACCUAUAAUGAAAAUUAUAGAUUAAUAUAUUAAUGCGAUGUCGGCUUAACUUAUCCUCAUGGAUGCAGGAACUAUGUAGGGUGCGACUGUUCGUCGAUUAAAAAGUUACAUGAGCUGGGUUAAAUACGUCGUGAGACAGUAUGGUUUCUAUCUUCUAGGGGGAAUUAGAAUAUAAUAAGAACUAACUUUUGUACGAAAGGAACAGGAAGAAUUAAACUUGUAAAAGGGUUAAAUAAUAGUUACUAACCUAUGGUUUACCUGUUGUCUAUGUGCCCAAAUAUUAAAUAUACAUAA